rnacentral:rRNA from 1 species
ACGGGAGGCAGCAGUGGGGAAUAUUGCACAAUGGGCGCAAGCCUGAUGCAGCGAUGCCGCGUGAGGGAAGAAGGUUUUCGGAUUGUAAACCUCUGUCAUCGGGGACGAUAAUGACUGUACCCGAGAAGGAAGCUCCGGCUAACUCCGUGCCAGCAGCCGCGGUAAUACGUAGGGAGCGAGCGUUAUCCGGAAUGACUGGGUGUAAAGGGAGUGUAGGCGGGACUGUAAGUCAGAUGUGAAAUAUACCGGCUCAACUGGUAGACGGCAGUGGAAACUGCGGUUCUUGAGUGAAGUAGAGGUAAGCGGAAGUCCGAGUGUAGCGGUGAAAUGCAUAGAUAUUAGGAGGAACAUCAGUGGCGAAGGCGGCCUACUGGGCUUUAACUGACGCUGAGGCUCGAAAGCGUGGGGAGCAAACAGGAUUAGAUACCCUGGUA